AGAGUUUGAUCCUGGCUCAGAAUGAACGCUGGCGGCGUGCUUAACACAUGCAAGUCGUACGAGAACGCUUCAGCUUGCUGAAGCUAGUAAAGUGGCGCACGGGUGAGUAACGCGUGGGUAAUCUACCUCCGAAUUGGGGAUAACGUUGCGAAAGCGACGCUAAUACCGGAUAAUAUCGAGAGGACUUCGGUUUUUUCGAUCAAAGGUGGCCUCUUCAUGAAAGCUACUGUUUGGAGAUGAGCCCGCGUCCCAUUAGCUUGUUGGUGGGGUAAAAGCCCACCAAGGCCGCGAUGGGUAGCUGGUCUGAGAGGAUGAUCAGCCACACUGGAACUGACACACGGUCCAGACUCCUACGGGAGGCAGCAGUGAGGAAUUUUGCGCAAUGGGGGAAACCCUGACGCAGCAACGCCGCGUGAGUGAAGAAGGCCCUUGGGUCGUAAAGCUCUGUCAACUGGGAAGAAGUUAUGACAUAUUAAUAGUGUGUUGUAUUGACGGUACCAGUGGAGGAAGCGCCGGCUAACUCCGUGCCAGCAGCCGCGGUAACACGGGGGGCGCAAGCGUUAUUCGGAAUUAUUGGGCGUAAAGGGCGCGUAGGCGGUCUUGUCGGUCAGAUGUGAAAGCCCGGGGCUCAACCCUGGAAGUGCAUUUGAAACAGCAAGACUUGAGUACGGGAGAGGAAAGCGGAAUUCCUGGUGUAGAGGUGAAAUUCGUAGAUAUCAGGAGGAACACCGAUGGCGAAGGCAGCUUU
rnacentral:rRNA from 1 species